rnacentral:rRNA from 1 species
UACGAAGGGGGCUAGCGUUGUUCGGAAUUACUGGGCGUAAAGCGCACGUAGGCGGGUUGUUAAGUCAGGGGUGAAAUCCUGGAGCUCAACUCCAGAACUGCCUUUGAUACUGGCAACCUAGAGACUGGAAGAGGCGAGUGGAAUUCCUGGUGUAGCGGUGAAAUGCGCAGAUAUCAGGAGGAACACCUAUUGCGAAGGCGCUCAUCUGGCCCAAUACUGACGCUGAGGCGCGAAAGCUAGGGGAGCAAACGGG